rnacentral:misc_RNA from 1 species
UCUGCACUUCUCAGGCGGCUGUUUCCUGGAAGGAAGGAGGAUGAAGAUUUAUGGGAUUCACCGGCGGUCGGGAAAGGGGAAAUAGCAAGUACAAGCUCAUUUGCAAAUGCUAAGCCAGAUCAUGCAAAGACACGACCUCCUUCAAGGCACAUAGAACAUGUUAUAGCACCAGAAUAUAGGAUGAGCCAGAGUGAUUGCUGUCCCAGUAAUUUCUUUGAUAGGCCAAAGGAGAGAGUUCCCCCAGAGUUGCACUAUGAAGAUGCAGAUAAUAGCCAAAUUUCAAACAACAAAAUAACUAUAAGUUUGUGGGAUCAUAGUGAUUCAUUGCCUUCAUUAUCCUUUGACCAUCAUGGGCUUGCUGAUUUCCUACCAUAUAG